rnacentral:rRNA from 1 species
UAAAACGUCGUGAGACAGUUUGGUCCCUAUCUGCCGUGGGCGCUGGAAAUUUGAAGGGGGCUGCUCCUAGUACGAGAGGACCGGAGUGGACGAACCUCUGGUGUACCGGUUAUGACGCCAGUCGUAUCGCCGGGUAGCUAAGUUCGGAAGAGAUAAACGCUGAAAGCAUCUAAGCGUGAAACUCGCCUUAAGAUGAGAUUUCCCCGGGGACUCGAUCCCCCUCAAGGGCCGUGGUAGACCACCACGUUGAUAGGCUGGAUGUGGAAGCGCAGCAAUGCGUUGAGCUAACCAGUACUAAUCGCCCGUGCGGCUUGAUCCU